rnacentral:rRNA from 1 species
CCUACGGGUGGCAGCAGUGGGGAAUAUUGCGCAAUGGGCGAAAGCCUGAUGCAGCGACGCCGCGUGAGGGAUGAAGGUCUUCGGAUCGUAAACCUCUGUCAGCAGGGAAGAACGGUCACUGUGCUAAUCAGCAGUGAAUUGACGGUACCUGCAAAGGAAGCACCGGCUAACUACGUGCCAGCAGCCGCGGUAAUACGGAGGGUGCGAGCGUUAAUCGGAUUUAUUGGGCGUAAAGCGCUCGCAGGCGGUAUGUCAAGUCAAGGGUGAAAUCCCCGCGCUCAACGUGGGAACUGCCUUGGAAACUGGCAAACUGGAGUGUGUGAGAGGAUAGUGGAAUUCCAGGUGUAGGAGUGGAAUCCGUAGAUAUAUGGAGGAACAUCAGUGGCGAAGGCGACUAUCUGGCACAUAACUGACGCUGAGGAGCGAAAGCGUGGGUAGCGAACAGGAUUAGAUACCCUUGUAGUC